rnacentral:rRNA from 1 species
GACGAACGCUGGCGGCGUGCCUAAUACAUGCAAGUUGAGCGAUGAAGAUUGGUGCUUGCACCAAUUUGAAGAGCAGCGAACGGGUGAGUAACGCGUGGGGAAUCUGCCUUUGAGCGGGGGACAACAUUUGGAAACGAAUGCUAAUACCGCAUAACAACUUUAAACAUAAGUUUUAAGUUUGAAAGAUGCAAUUGCAUCACUCAAAGAUGAUCCCGCGUUGUAUUAGCUAGUUGGUGAGGUAAAGGCUCACCAAGGCGAGGAUACAUAGCCGACCUGAGAGGGUGAUCGGCCACAUUGGGACUGAGACACGGCCCAAACGCCUACGGGAGGCAGCAGUAGGGAAUCUUGGGCCAUGGACGAAAGUCUGACCGAGCAACGCCGCGUGAGGGAAGAAGGUUGUCGGAUCGUAAAACUCUGUUGGUAGAGAAGAACGUUGGUGAGAGUGGAAAGCUCAUCAAGUGACGGUAACUACCCAGAAAGGGACGGCUAACUACGUG